GCAAGUCGAGGGGUAGAGAAGGAAUAGUUUACUAGGAAUUCUCGAGACCGGCGCACGGGUGCGUAACACGUAUGCAACUUACCCUUUACUGGGGCAUAGCUCAGAGAAAUCUGAAUUAAUUCUCCAUAAUAAUAUUGAAUUGCAUGAUUUGAUAUUUAAAGCUCAGGCGGUAAAGGAUAGGCAUGCGCUGUAUUAGCUAGUUGGUGAGGUAAUGGCUCACCAAGGCUACGAUACAUAAAGGUUCUGAGAGGAUGAUC
rnacentral:rRNA from 1 species